UACGGAGGGUGCGAGCGUUGUUCGGAAUCACUGGGCGUAAAGGGCGUGUAGGCGGUCCGCUAAGUCUGAUGUGAAAGCCCGGGGCUCACCCCCGGAAGUGCAUUGGAAACUGGCGGACUCGAGUCCCGGAGAGGAGAGUGGAAUUCCUGGUGUAGCGGUGAAAUGCGUAGAUAUCAGGAGGAACACCGGUGGCGAAGGCGGGUCUCUGGGCCGAUACUGACGCUGAGGAGCGAAAGCGUGGGGAGCAAACAGG
rnacentral:rRNA from 1 species